UACGUAGGGUGCGAGCGUUAAUCGGAAUUACUGGGCGUAAAGCGUGCGCAGGCGGCUUUGCAAGACAGAUGUGAAAUCCCCGGGCUUAACCUGGGAACUGCAUUUGUGACUGCAUGGCUGGAGUGCGGCAGAGGGGGAUGGAAUUCCGCGUGUAGCAGUGAAAUGCGUAGAUAUGUGGAGGAACACCGAUGGCGAAGGCAGCCUCCUGGGCCAGCACUGACGCUCAUGCACGAAAGCGUGGGGAGCAAACAGG
rnacentral:rRNA from 1 species